CAUAUGUUUGAUUUUGUAUGGCCUUACCAUGGUGAGUAAUACGCUGGCAUUCAGUUCUUUGUGAUUGUAUUGGUAAACAAGUUGUGUACGUGAUAGCAUUGUUAUUUCAAUAAUAUUUUUCGGACAUUCUCUACAAUUAUGCCAGGACUUGGUAGUGUAGAGUUUGGCGUCGCAGCGGGUGUUGCAACACUGGCUGGUGCCCCUGCUGUUUUAGGCGCACUCGGGUUUGGAUCUGCCGGUGUCGUUGCUGGGUCUAUCGCGUCUGGGUCUGGCAUUCAGGGACCAGCCGUUGUAUUCGGAAGUUACUUUGCGCUUGCGCAGAGCGCAUGAGCAGCGGUUGCAGGUGUUUUGGGCAGUUUAUAAAUAGGCUAUAAAUAAAGCAACCAAGGACAUGAUUUUAAGCUCUUUUCUAAGCGACAUUGACUUUCUAUCACUUUAUUUCGGACACAUCCCAGUGGUAUAUAGAACAACUCAAUGUUCAGCCUUGAUGGACGUUUAACAAUGCUUCUUUAAUGUAGCUGGUAUUGGUUAUACUUUAAAUGUUGAAAUAAAAAUAAAAUAUCAAUUUAUCUUUCAAUGCCAUUAAUAUGUCAACAUCUUAUAAAAUAAAUGUAUUUAUCACA